GUUUCUCUUUCUCUUCUUAUUCUUCUCUCUGGCCUUCAUCCUGUGGUCCUAACAUCAGCUGAGUCUGGCAUCCUGCAGCUGAACACUCAGCCUAUCCGAAACCAGCUGACCUCAAUGUCCCACAAUGCCUGUGUGCUGAUUCCCAGUGCAGGUGAUGAUGAUUUCUACUGCCUUUGUUUCAAAUUUUCAAAGUACUAUUUUACCUAUCUGAAGAAGUAUGUUGUUAAUAUAGUUGUAAAAGGUUCAAAUAAAGUGAGUGUGAAAAGGA